rnacentral:rRNA from 1 species
GAAUUCGCCCUUAGAGUUUGAUCCUGGCUCAGGACGAACGCUGGCGGCGCGCCUAACACAUGCAAGUCGAACGAGCGAGAGAGAGCUUGCCUUCUCAAGCGAGUGGCGAACGGGUGAGUAACGCGUGAGGAACCUGCCUCAAAGAGGGGGACAACAGUUGGAAACGACUGCUAAUACCGCAUAAGCCCACAGCUCGGCAUCGAGCAGAGGGAAAAGGAGCAAUCCGCUUUGAGAUGGCCUCGCGUCCGAUUAGCUAGUUGGUGAGGUAAUGGCCCACCAAGGCAACGAUCGGUAGCCGGACUGAGAGGUUGAACGGCCACAUUGGGACUGAGACACGGCCCAGACUCCUACGGGAGGCAGCAGUGGGGAAUAUUGCACAAUGGGGGAAACCCUGAUGCAGCGACGCCGCGUGGAGGAAGAAGGUCUUCGGAUUGUAAACUCCUGUUGUUGAGGAAGAUAAUGACGGUACUCAACAAGGAAGUGACGGCUAACUACGUGCCAGCAGCCGCGGUAAAACGUAGGUCACAAGCGUUGUCCGGAAUUACUGGGUGUAAAGGGAGCGCAGGCGGGAAGACAAGUUGGAAGUGAAAUCUAUGGGCUCAACCCAUAAACUGCUUUCAAAACUGUUUUUCUUGAGUAGUGCAGAGGUAGGCGGAAUUCCCGGUGUAGCGGUGGAAUGCGUAGAUAUCGGGAGGAACACCAGUGGCGAAGGCGGCCUACUGGGCACCAACUGACGCUGAGGCUCGAAAGUGUGGGUAGCAAACAGGAUUAGAUACCCUGGUAGUCCACACCGUAAACGAUGAUUACUAGGUGUUGGAGGAUUGACCCCUUCAGUGCCGCAGUUAACACAAUAAGUAAUCCACCUGGGGAGUACGACCGCAAGGUUGAAACUCAAAGGAAUUGACGGGGGCCCGCACAAGCAGUGGAGUAUGUGGUUUAAUUCGACGCAACGCGAAGAACCUUACCAAGUCUUGACAUCCUGCGACGAUGCUGGAAACAGUAUUUUCCUUCGGGACGCAGAGACAGGUGGUGCAUGGUUGUCGUCAGCUCGUGUCGUGAGAUGUUGGGUUAAGUCCCGCAACGAGCGCAACCCUUACUGUCAGUUACUACGCAAGAGGACUCUGGCAGGACUGCCGUUGACAAAACGGAGGAAGGUGGGGAUGACGUCAAAUCAUCAUGCCCUUUAUGACUUGGGCUACACACGUACUACAAUGGCGUUAAACAAAGAGAAGCAAGACCGCGAGGUGGAGCAAAACUCAGAAACAACGUCCCAGUUCGGACUGCAGGCUGCAACUCGCCUGCACGAAGUCGGAAUUGCUAGUAAUCGCAGAUCAGCAUGCUGCGGUGAAUACAAUCCCGGGCCUUGCACUCACGCCCGUCA